rnacentral:tRNA from 1 species
CGGGGUGUAGCUCAGCCUGCGCCAGAGCGCGUGUUUCGGGUACACGAGGCCAGAGGUUCAAAUCCUCUCACCCCGACCA